CCGUCAAUUCAUUUGAGUUUCAACCUUGCGGUCGUACUCCCCAGGUGGGGUACUUAAUGCGUUAGCUUUGGCACUGAACCUUGCGGCCCAGCACCGAGUACCCAUCGUUUAAGGCGUGGACUACCAGGGUAUCUAAUCCUGUUCGAUCCCCACGCUUUCGUGCAUCAGCGUCAGUAACGGCCCAGCAAGCUGCCUUCGCUAUCGGUGUUCUGUGUAAUAUCUAAGCAUUUCACCGCUACAUUACACAUUCCGCCUGCCUUGACCAUACUCAAGAAAAACAGUAUCAAUGGCAAGUCUACAGUUAAGCUGCAGGGUUUCACCACUGACUUAUUCUUCCGCCUACGCACCCUUUAAACCCAAUAAAUCCGGAUAACGCUCGCAUCCUCCGUAUUACCGCGGCUGCUGGCACGGAGUUAGCCGAUGCUUAUUCUCAGGGUACCUUCAGUUCUGUAUACAUACAAAAUUUUAUCCCCCUGAAAAAGAAGUUUACAACGCAUAGCGCAUUCUUCCUUCACGCGGGAUGGCUGGUUCAGGCUGCCGCCCAUUGACCAAUAUUCCCUACKGCUGCCUCCCGUAGGAGU
rnacentral:rRNA from 1 species